ACAGAAAGUGGGGAAAGGUCACGGCUACCUGGGAGCUGAGUCUGUUGUCAGUCCCUCCCUUCCUCCACCCUGCCUCCCGUCCCUUAUCUCGACUUUCUUGGGGCUGGUCGGGAGCAAAAGGGCGCACGCGGUGAAGUCAGGUCCUGAAAUCACCGGGGGAUUUUUUUUGCGGAGGAGAAGGUGGAAGGAAAGAACAGUGAGCAGGCUCUGGCUCCAGCACCAAUGGCUUCAGCCGGAGGCCAAGGCAGCCUCGGUGACACUUCCUCAAAGUGAAAGCGAAAGCCAAGUAGGCGGAGAGGACUGACGGGGCCAGGCGGUCGGCCAGGCAGGCGUGUUUGGAGCCCCUUCUCCAGCCCGGACCUGGCCGGCGCGGGGCACGAGGAGGGGCGGCGGGGGAGGAGGGCCUGAGAGCAGCCCCCAUGGGCUCCGAGGGGUGGUGCUUGCUGGUCUGCUUGGCUCUCUCCGGGGCAGCAGACGCCGUAGAAAGGCAGUGGCGGGCAGUGGACGUGAUCUUGGACUGCUUCCUGAUGGGGGAAGGUGGGCACCGUGGAGCUUUCGCCAGCAGUGAGAACAUGGUGAAGGCCUUGUUGGUGCUGAAGCAGGUGCCAGUGCCGGACGACGGCUCGCUGGAAGGCCUCACGGAUUUCCAAGGGGGCACACUGGCCGAGGACGACCCACUCAUUACCUUCGAGGCCUCAGUGAACCUGAUACGGAUUCCCCAGGCCGAGGCCUUGCUCCAUGCUGACUGCAGCGGCAAAGAGGUGACCUGUGAGAUCUCCAGCUAUUUUCUCCAGGCCAGGCCCAAGGCCACGGUGGAGACGGCAGCCUGGUUCAUCACUAACGUGCUAGUGCCUGGAGAGGGACCUAGUAUCUCCAUGGUGAUGAAGACCCUUGGGGAUGCUGAGAAUGGGGCUGUCUUGCAUCCCAUGCUGAAACUGCCCCUGAGCCCCCAGGGGACUGUGCGGACUGAAGUGGAGUUCCAGGUGACAACACAGACCCCGUCCCUGAAUCUCCUGCUGGGGUCCUCAACCUCCCUGCACUGUGGCUUCUCCAUGGCACCAGGCUUGGGCAUCACCAGCGUGGAGUGGCACCGGCAGCAUAAGGGCAGUGGCCACCUGGUGUACCGCUGGGCCACGGGGCAGGGGCAGGCCAAGCGGGAGGGCGCCACCCUGGAGCCUCAGCAGCUGCUCAUGGCUGGGGACGCCUCCCUCACCCUACCCAGCCUCACUCUGAAGGAUGAGGGGACCUACAUCUGCGAGAUCACAACCUCCCUGUACCGAGCUCAACAGAUCAUCCAGCUCAACGUCCAAGCUGCCCCCAAAGUACGACUGAGCUUGGCGAGCGAAGCUCUGCCGCCCACCCUCUUCUGCAGUGUCACUGGCUAUUACCCUCUGGAUGUGACUGUGACGUGGAUCCGGGAGGAGCUGGGUGGAGCCCCGGCCCCAGUCUCUGGCGCCUCCUUCUCCAGCCUCCGGUAUAGCACGGCAGGCACCUACAGCAUCUCCUCCUCCCUGACGGCAGAGCCUGGCUCUGUGGGUGCCACUUACACCUGCCAAGUCACCCACGUGUCCCUGCAGGAGCCCCUGGGGGCCAACACCUGGGUUGCCCCACCAGGUAUGGGAGUGCCCUCCUUUCCCCACCACCACACCUGGGCUCACGGCUCCUGCCCUCUGGCCUUGUUCUGCUUCCCACAGUGUCGGCUGCUGCUUUCCCAAGGUGACAGCCUCCAGAGGUCCCACCCCGUCCUCCAAGACUUUAUUACCCCCCGAGUUCUGGGGUACCAGGCACUGCUGAGAGCUGGAGACCAAGGCUGAACAACUCCUCAUCCUGCCCUCGAGGAGCUUAGCCCAGUGGGAGGGACAGACUAGGCAGUCAGGGAAGAUGACCCCGGGGAGGCCUGCAAGCCGGCUGAGCUGGGUCAGGGGCAGGGAACACCAGGACCGAAGGGACGUCAUGUGUGAAGGCCUCAUUAUAAAACAGGCUAGAAAGAACUGGGGGGCCUGCACGGCUAGAGGCAAGGGUGCGUGGGGAAAGAGGGCUGUGGCCGUGAAGCUUGAGAGGUGAUGGUGUUCGCUGAGCAUCUGUGUCAAGCCAGCAGGGCACUGAGCCCUCAGAUGUGGGCCUCCACAGGUCCUCACUCCUCCCAUCUUAGAGAUGAGUAACUGAUACUUGCAGAGGUUCCGUAAUUUGCCCAAGGUCACCUGCCUAGGAAAUGGUAAAACAGAAAAUGUGGAAAAUAGGCGAUUCCCCUACAGCCUCAACCCCGCUCCUGCUACUGAUGGGCAGAUAACAGCAGGCCUUCAAGCGGGAACUUCAUCCCGAGGCCACAGACUGUCUUCGAAAGGUCCUACACCAUAGAGUCGGCACCUCGAAAUGCCUUGCUUGGUGUCUCAUGAGACUGUAAGCUUCCCCGAAACUGGGGUUUUGCCUCAGCUUACAUCAUUCCCAGUGGUUUACACAAUUCCAGUUUAACUAUCACCAGCUAAUCUAAACUAAAUCUCCCGUGCAAAGCCGUUUGAAAAAAGGUUGUCCUGAGGUGGGAAGAGGUAAAGGAUUCUGUGUGGAGUGACACACGGACGUCCACCGAGCAGGCCCCAGCGCCACCAUGUGCUGGUCCCUGGGUGAGAGCAGGAAAACAGCUGAUGGGAGCUCCUCGGCCAGGGACGCUUGAACGCAGGCGCGCGCGCGCCCUGCCCUUCCUGCCGGGGCAGACGCUGCACAUGAGGGCUCAGUAUGAUUCCCGCCACUGAUCCCCGUCCACACCUCUGUCCCCUACAGAGCAGAGGACGGCCUUUGGAGUCCUUUUUGCCAGCAGCCUCUUCCUCCUGGCACUGCUGUUCCUGGGACUGCAGAGACGCCAAGCUACCUCACCAAGGCCUGCCAGGACCCCGAGGCACUCCGGGUAGCCACUCUCCUGCCUUAGAUAU